rnacentral:rRNA from 1 species
AGAGUUUGAUCCUGGCUCAGAUUGAACGCUGGCGGCAGGCCUAACACAUGCAAGUCGAGCGGUAGAGAGAAGCUUGCUUCUCUUGAGAGCGGCGGACGGGUGAGUAAUGCCUAGGAAUCUGCCUGGUAGUGGGGGAUAACGUUCGGAAACGGACGCUAAUACCGCAUACGUCCUACGGGAGAAAGCAGGGGACCUUCGGGCCUUGCGCUAUCAGAUGAGCCUAGGUCGGAUUAGCUAGUUGGUGAGGUAAUGGCUCACCAAGGCGACGAUCCGUAACUGGUCUGAGAGGAUGAUCAGUCACACUGGAACUGAGACACGGUCCAGACUCCUACGGGAGGCAGCAGUGGGGAAUAUUGGACAAUGGGCGAAAGCCUGAUCCAGCCAUGCCGCGUGUGUGAAGAAGGUCUUCGGAUUGUAAAGCACUUUAAGUUGGGAGGAAGGGCCGUUACCUAAUACGUGAUGGUUUUGACGUUACCGACAGAAUAAGCACCGGCUAACUCUGUGCCAGCAGCCGCGGUAAUACAGAGGGUGCAAGCGUUAAUCGGAAUUACUGGGCGUAAAGCGCGCGUAGGUGGUUUGUUAAGUUGGAUGUGAAAUCCCCGGGCUCAACCUGGGAACUGCAUUCAAAACUGACUGACUAGAGUAUGGUAGAGGGUGGUGGAAUUUCCUGUGUAGCGGUGAAAUGCGUAGAUAUAGGAAGGAACACCAGUGGCGAAGGCGACCACCUGGACUGAUACUGACACUGAGGUGCGAAAGCGUGGGGAGCAAACAGGAUUAGAUACCCUGGUAGUCC